AAGGACACAAAGAGAAUCACUAAUUUAAUCCAUGGACUGACUCCAUCAUCUUCUUCUCUCCCUGUGAAGCGAUCCUGUGGAUUAUCUCACUCAGCUCUGAUGUGGCACAGUGACACUGACUGAACUUUAUAAAUUUAAGUCUUUUAAAGUUAUGUGACUGCCGUCGCUAAAGCAUCACCUUGACCUCCCCUCAGAUCUUGGCCACUGAAGGAAACUUCACUUCAGUGAGAAUGGAUUAGCUGCUGAAUUUGGCAGCACUCUGAGAGUCAUUUCAAUCUGGAACAUUCAAACCUGUCUUUUUGUGGAAACUGAAAACUCAACAGUAUGGAGAUCCUGAGCGGCCCCUGGGCUGAUCUGGCUCUGCUCCUUCGGCAAACUGUCAUGCAGACAGACAGAGAGAGAGAAACUUUUCUUCCUCCCUGGUUGUUCAUCCUGCUGCUGUUCGUGUCCGUCUGUCUGCUGCUGCUGCAGCUGAUCAUCUAUCUCAGCUGGAAACUCAGACAGGCAGAAGCUGACCUGUCGGGGUAUCUACAGGACAGAAGCGCCAUCUACAGGCCUCCACGCAGAGGUACACACCUGAGGAGAAGGAGCGUUGGGUAGCUGCUGAACACCUGACAGAGAUCUGAGGAAUCUGAACUGAUCUCUACUAGAUACUAAUAAUACCUGCAGGUGCUCAGGAUCUGAGAAAAAAACUGACACACUCAAAGUGCCCUAAAAGAUCAAUAUUACUGCAUCCAGCAAAAUAUAACAUAGGAAACUUAUUUGAAGGUUGGUAGAGCUUUAAACAUUCAGAGAUAAGCUGACAAGUAUCCAUAGCCUCAAUCUUAUUUUUCUCAAGAUUCUUGUGAUAUUAAUAUACUGAAAUUACUAAUCUAGGCUUACGGUAGAGUGGAGGGGUUUUUGCAAACUCCAAGCAGGCUUUUAUAUCUUUUGCCCUGAGGAGAGGCUUAUAGCCACUCUGCCAUGAGCCUUGAUUGGUGGAGGGCUGCAGUGAUGCCUGUCCCUCUGGAACUUUGUCUCAUCUCCACACAGGAUCUCUAGAGCUCAGUCAGAGUGACCAUGCGAUCCUUGGUCACCUAACUUUCUAAGGCCCUUUUCCCUGAUUGCUCAGUUUGGCCAGGUGACCUGCUCUUGGAAGAGUCCUGGUUGCAUAAAACUUCUUUCAUUUGAGAAUUAUGGAGGCCACUGUGCUCUUGGGAACUUUCAGUGCAUCAGAACUUGUUUUGUAGUCUUCCCCAGACCUGAUUUAUAAUUUCUUUUUCAACAAUAAUCAACAAUAAGAAAAACAGCAAUUUUUGGCAUUCAAUAUGUCUCUCAGUGUGGUUUGUUUUAAAAUGAAAGGACAGGCUUUGAAAAUGAACAUAUUCAAAAGUCUCACUAUGAAAAACAAUGACCUAGGUAAUUAAACAAAUACACUGACACCAGGCAGGCAGAUGGGGUAAACCAAAAAGCACAGAUUCAUGCCCUCUCAGGACUUGUGUACAAAUCAUGUUUAAUGUUAUAUAUGUUGCAUUUUAUUGCUAUAUUUAAGAAACUUCAUAAAGCUUUUGUCCCUCUUGAUCUUUUAGAGAUAUGUUUACAUACAGGUGCAUCUCAAUAGAUUAGACAAUUAUGAAAGUUAUUUUUUCCUGUGAAUUUGUCCAAAAAGGAAAACUUCCACAUUUAGAUUCAGCUUACAGAAUGCAAAACAUUUCCAAAGGUUUUUUAUGUUUUAAUUAGCUCACAAAAAUAAAAAAUCAACUUUUUCAAAGUAUUAGAAUAUGACCUUCAGCUCAUCUGUGUCGUAGAGUCUGAUGUCUUUCAUCUUGACAACAGUCGAAAGAUUUUCUAUGGGGUUUCGGGUCAGGCCAGAUGGCUGGCCAAUCAAGCACAGUAAUUUCAUGGUCAGAAAACCAGUUUCUGGUAGUUUUGACUUCACUGUGGAGUCCUGCUAAAAAAGUAAAUCAGUAAAGCUUCUCAGCAGAUUGAGGCAUAAAGUGCUCUAAAAUCUCCCACUAGACAGCGUUGACUCUGAACUUGAUAAAGUACAGUAGUCCAACAGCAGCAGAUAACAUGGCACCCCAAACCAUAAACCUAUUGUAGACCUGACAACACUGGACUUAACAAUAUUCCAAUUUUCUGAGAGACGGCAUUUUGGGUUUUCAUUGGCUUUAAGCCAUAAUCAUUAAAGUUAAAAGAAAUAAACACCCGAAAUGUAUCAGUCUGUCUGUAAUAAGCCCAUACAUCAUGGGUUUCAUUUUUUUAAAUCAACUUUUUAAUGAAAUUCUAAUUUAUUGAGAUGCACCCGUAUGCUUUGAUACUGCCUCUGAGAACAGCCUGACCUUUCAGAAGUGACCUUCUGUGGCUUACCCACUUUGUAGGGCACGUUAAUUAAUAGUUAGCUUUAUGUAAAAUACUUAAAAUUCUUUCAAAAGGACGAAAGAAAGAAAGAAUAUAUUUCAGAGUAUAACAAUCCUUUAUUUAAACAGUGUUACACAGGGGGAGGUGUGACUGCGUGUUGGGAGACACAAGACAAUCAAGCUGCUAGAUAGAAAAAACAUACAGUGAUCAUUGGUUGGCUAAAAGGGGAACAAUGAGGCAGCUGCAGGUGGGUUUCCAAAAUGUGUUUCUUUAUAAAGUGUUACAAAAUUGUGCUGGUUUUAACCAACAGACUAACUGUAACAUAGCCUGAGAGUGUAGUCCAAUCAUUGUUGAAGCCUCUUGUAGAGAUGUUACUGUAUGGAUGAAAAUCCAAUAUAUUGGCAGUGUAGUUUAUUAUUUCCCUAUGUAACGUCUCCAUGCUGAAAUCCCUGACAGUUUGAAAGACAGCUGGCGUUGAAUCAUCAUAGGUUGUCUGUAAUGACACUUUUUAAAUUCUGUGUUGUUUUUUUUAUUCUAUUAAAAUUACUGAUGGAAAAACAUUAAUUUCUGAGAGUAUUUUUUCAGUCUACAUUUUGGAAAACCUCAGCCUCACUGCCCCAAAGCUCCUGUCAUGGGUUAAAAACAGAGCCCAAACCCCUGAAGAGAGGCUAAACUCAGGGCUAAUUGUACAAAAAAAAAAAAUCAGUGGUGGAAAUUAUUCGUAGUGGUGACGACAUUACAAAUAUUCAAGAGAGCGCACAGUAAGUCCCACCUUUUGACAACUAAGACCAGCUUCACAGAGAAAGACGACAUACUUGUGAGAAAAUCUACAAAUACGGCUACAGAUUUUAUUUUUUUAGGAGCGAAAGCUUCCAAAGCUGCCUAGAGAUAGUUUUUAAACAUUUUUCUGAUGAUUCAUUUCUUUGCAAGAGGGUCAGAAAUUAAAGCAUCCCCCUCACCUGGAAUGUCAUUUCACUGCAUAGUAGAGGUCAGACCAGUGUUUCCCAAUGAAAGCCAAGACUGUCAUUACCACUCCAUCUUCAGUAGAAAAAAAAGAUUAAAUAUUCUGUUGACUCCAAUUCAAAAUGUCGUGGAUCAGACUAAUCUAGGAAGGUAAAAGCGGAAUGUUUUUAGAAUCAUCUGUGGCACUCUUUGCUUACAAUCAGUUAAAUUUCAAGAAACACGUUUCUGAUUGUGUCAUGUAAAUGCUUCAGAUCAAGCACCUUCCCUCUGACUGAAUCCACCGUUAUUUACAUAGAGCUGCAGUACUGUAGAUAUCUUCUGCUGAGCUCUGAAUGGAAGGGACACAGACAGAAAAUGAAUGAAACAUGUAAAGAAUUCAUUUGGGGGUUUCAAAAGCACUUCAAACCCUCCGAUCAUUUCCCUUUAAGCUGCAUUUUACAGUUCUGCUGUAGAAGUUUCCAUGUGUUUGUAGUGUACCAGCAGACUAAGAGAUUUUUCUUGUGUGGUUGAAUCACACUGAAUUCACCUGAAUGUGAUUUUGUAACUUUAAAGGAUUUCCAUACUAAAGCUCCUGUGAAGAGCUUUGUGUUUGGGUUGAUAUUUGUGACCCCUGUGGACAAAAUGGUGUGUUUUACCUCUUUAGUGAGUUUUCCAUGUCUUCUAUCGGCUGUCAGGAGCCACUCACUCUAGGUAAUCUGGUAGGUAAGCAUGUUUCAACCCAAAUUUGAGUUUGUCUCACUAGUGUAAGUGCUUAAGAACGGUACACUUCCUUGGCAGUUCAAAGAGGUGGACUUCGGCACAGUGCGGCAGCACAAGCAUGUGUACGCAACAUAGAUAUGACAUAAUCUGAGCAAAUUGAUGCACUGCCAUGCAAAAUACAGAAAUCAAGGAGUGUUUGUGACCAAAAUGACUCAAAAUAAGUUAGAAAGUGAGUAAAGUUGCUGUCAUGUUCUCUGUAGCUCUCCACUGUGAUAGCUCUGAGAUCAUUCUUCUUGUAAACAAAGCCACACAUACGUUGUAUUAUGCGCAAUCAUGUCUAAUUGGGCCUGAAACAAUGCGAGUGCUUUCCAGCUUGGGACAAAUGUUUCAGGAUGAUAAGGUUAAAUGGGCCUAGUGUGAAUGUGCCCUUACAUGACAAAAAAAAUCUCAACCUGCUUUCUUUGAACAGUUACAUGUAUCUACCUGUGAAUAUUUGAAAAAUCUAAGUAUGUAUGCUGAUAUCAAGCCCAUGGCCAUGGUUACAGGCAUUGAAAACAGCAUAGCUCAAAUAGAGGCAUCGCUAGUCAUUUCAGUCUGCUUCACAACACAAUACAAACUCUUCACAGGAGCUUUAACGCUGAAGAAUAUUUGGUUGUAACAGUCGCAGAGCCGCCAGCAUCGAGUCAAAGAAUUAUAUCCUGACGUUCAGAAUAAUCUGUUUUCUACACACUCUCAAACCAAUCAUCACAAUAGCCUUCUAUCUAGACUCACUCUUAAGAUUAAACCAUGUGAAGACAUGCUGAAUUGAAUCCCAGAUCUUGUUGUUUUGAGCAGGUUGUGUUGCCGUUAUCUAGUCCUGUAUGAAACAUUGAAGCUGGGAGUGAAAUUAAGUGCUGAACUGAAGACAAGCAGGCUCUGAUGGAGAAAAUUCUGAACUGGUUUCAAGUCAUUUUGGUACCUGUGCUUGUUUGAGCGCAAAACUUUACAAAUUCAGGAUUAAAGAUUAAACAAAAAAAACUGCCUUAUUAGCUCACCUCAAGAUGCAAAGUCACAUGACUGGCACAUGCAUCGUUACCCAGAUUUCUUCUAUCACUCCCAGUUUGUAAGCUUGUACUGUACAAAGCCUCCUCUAUCUCCCAAUUUAGUUUCAGUUACUGGUCCUCUCUCCCAAUCUAAAAUCUGCUCCCUUGCUCCCCUGUGGCCCAAUAGGAAUGGCUAAUGUCGUACAGUGGGCGGGCCCAGGGAGAGCGUUCCACUAAUGAAAAAGCUGCAUAACUGCUCCCAUCUAAAAACCUUCAUUUGAACUGUACACAAAGUCAUAGACACCAGCUUUAAGUUAGCUCAUCUUCAGCUCAAUUGAAGUACAGUAUCAAAUAGAAAAUAAUCCCAGCUGCAUUAUUUGGCUUCUCAAGCUUUAUUUAAGUCAAACCCAACAACCCAAAUAAAAUCCGGUUUAUUCCAAUCUCCUGUCUAAAUGAUAAAAUGCCUUUUUUGUCUUAUAGUGGAGUAAAAAGUGAGAUGAACUGAACAUGAGCUGACUAAGUGGUGAGUAAACACACGAGGAAUGUGGCUGAAUAACUAUACAUACACAGAAAAUAAAACACAGAAUCAUAAAAAUUCAUAAACCUGCUUCAUUGUGUUUUUUUACUGCCAUUUUUAAAUUACAGCUCCCCAAAUCCUGAAUUCUUUAAUAAAACACUUGGUUCUAUCAUUCAUAAGACCAUGCUUCAUCUGAAUGAGCCACUUUUUCACUACACUGUAAAAAAAUGAAAUUACUGAGUUUUCUCAUAAAACUUUCAUAUGCACCAUGAUCAUUGAAGUAGGAGCUGUAAUUUAAUAAGUUUUUGUCAGGAAUGCACCAAUACCAUCUUUCACUGCUGAUACAGACUCCAAGUAAAAACCUGACGCUCAUUUGAAUUGCUUCUGACACUUUUUAAAGCCUCUUUAAAGUCACAGGUAUACGUGGAAAAACUUGAGAUAAAAAAAUGACAAAUUAUGAAUUUAGCCAUGUAUUGCAUCAUGAUUGGUUAUCAGUGCAUCCCUACAGCGUUUAUCUCUUGCAUUACACGACCGGCACACUAUCUGCUUUCUUUUUGUAAGACAGUUAAGGAAAAAAAAGCACUAUUAAAAAAAAUAAAAACACACUACAAAUGUUAAACUAACAAAGUGGUUCUAGUUUCUUUGCCUCAGAAAGAGUGAGGAUAUUAUCUUUCUUUCUUUUUUUUUUUUUUUUUUUGGAGUGAGGGGGGUUUAGAUGCAUCAAAGAUGUGUAAGAAAGACCGACCGGGAAGAUAUCAACAUCUUCCCUCUUUUGUUA